rnacentral:misc_RNA from 1 species
AAUCCCUAGACCGCUGUUUGCCCAAGGUGCUUUGUCUACGUAUCUCUUUUUCUUCCGUGCCGCAUACAUUCAUUUGAGGGUCGUUAGCUAAACGAUUAACAUUUCUGUUCUUUCUUUCUAAUCAGGGUUUCAACUGAUUAGAAGGGUUUAGCGGAAGUAGCAAUGGCACCAGCUAAAGCUGACAGUUCAAAGAAGCCUGAUCCAAAGGCACAGGCUGUAAAGGCUGCAAAAGCAGUGAAGGCUGGUCCAACCUUUAAGAAGAAGGCCAACAAGAU